AGAGGGAUGGCAGAGUGGUCGAUUGCGGCGGUCUUGAAAACCGUUGGCUGUAAAAGGUCCGGGGGUUCGAAUCCCUCUCCCUCUG
rnacentral:tRNA from 1 species